rnacentral:tRNA from 1 species
UGUGUAUUAUUUUAAGUUAGAAUAGAUAUUUUUGGAGUGUCAGGUAGUUGCACAG